rnacentral:rRNA from 1 species
CGUGUAGGCGGCCCUGCAAGUCGGGUGUGAAAUCCCAUGGCUCAACCAUGGAAGUGCAUUCGAAACUGCAGGGCUAGAGUCCUGGAGAGGAAGGUGGAAUGCUUGGUGUAGAGGUGAAAUUCGUAGAUAUCAAGCGGAACACCGGUGGCGAAGGCGGCCUUCUGGACAGUGACUGACGCUGAGACGCGAAAGCGUGGGGAGCAAACA